rnacentral:rRNA from 1 species
CCUACGGGAGGCAGCAGUGAGGAAUAUUGGACAAUGGGCGCAAGCCUGAUCCAGCCAUGCCGCGUGCAGGAUGACGGUCCUAUGGAUUGUAAACUGCUUUUGCACAGGAAGAAACAACGCUACGUGUAGCGUCUUGACGGUACUGUGAGAAUAAGGAUCGGCUAACUCCGUGCCAGCAGCCGCGGUAAUACGGAGGAUCCAAGCGUUAUCCGGAAUCAUUGGGUUUAAAGGGUCCGUAGGCGGUUUAGUAAGUCAGUGGUGAAAGCCCAUCGCUCAACGGUGGAACGGCCAUUGAUACUGCUAGACUUGAAUUAUUAGGAAGUAACUAGAAUAUGUAGUGUAGCGGUGAAAUGCUUAGAGAUUACAUGGAAUACCAAUUGCGAAGGCAGGUUACUACUAAUGGAUUGACGCUGAUGGACGAAAGCGUAGGGUAGCGAACAGGAUUAGAUACCCUGGUAGUCCACGCCGUAAACGAUGGAUACUAGCUGUUGGGAGCGAUCUCNGUGNGUAGACGAAGUAGAGUAAGUAUACCGACCGUACGGGAGGUACGUUACGUACGAGAAGUAGAACGUACGAAAGUAGUAAGUUAGUACGGACGUUGAGACGAGCGACGGACGACGACGAGGGAGGUAGG